CAGCUCACGGGCAUGUGGCGUCUGCAAGAACCGCCUCCUCCAGAGAAGGCCCAGGGUCUCCACCUGACACAUGUGUCCCCUGUCCCAUCAUUUCACCAGUGUCAUGUGGCCUCCUUGCUUGCCUCUGCACAUCAUGUUCCUGACGGGAUCCCUUUUAAGGCGGGGGAAUCAUUCUUUUCAGCCAUCACCUCAGCAUCAAUGUUCUCUCAUCUGCUAUUUUACUCCUAUAUUCUUUGAAAGAGCAUUUCAACAAAUUCUCGAUUUGAACAGCUGGGACAGUGUGUGACCGAACGUCCAACUUCCUUCCCACCAGUGUGGCUGUGAUGGGACCAGAGGCCUGAAUGGGGAGAAAUGCCCAGUGUAUAUAGUCUGAACCUUGUCUACUGAGAGCGAGAGUAUCUAGGAUAUCAAGG